AAAGAAAAUAAUGGAUGAAUGAAUGUUGUUGGGGGUUUACAAUUUCAUCUAAUCCGCUCUCUCAUAUCUAAUCCUCUUGAAUAUUAGUUUGAUUCAUUAAUUGUCAUGCGACUUUCUUAGCCUACUCUUAACACCAAUCCCUCAGAGAAAAGAGCCUAAUAUUAACUACUGGCUUGCUAUCCCUAGCCUCCCCUAGCAAUUAAUACAACAUUAUAGAGCAGAAGUUAACGCAAUUGAUCGUCCUACCCCUAUCCCUAGGUGGUAUUGCAAAAUCAAGAAAUUACUCACCAGUUCAUGACAUUACUGUACGUCCCCGUAUCAAUAAAGACAAACAACAGUUACCGAAUGAGUUAAACGAUAAAGGCCUU
rnacentral:lncRNA from 1 species